GACAGAGGUGCCAAGCGUUAGGCGGAAUCACUGGGCUUAAAGCGUGUGUAGGCGGAUCGUUAAGUGCCUUGUGAAAUCCCACGGCUUAACCGUGGAACUGCUCGGCAUACUGGCGGUCUUGAGCAACCUAGGGGCGAGCGGAACAAAUGGUGGAGCGGUGAAAUGCGUAGAUAUCAUUUGGAACGCCAAUGGUGAAAACAGCUCGCUGGGGGUUUGCUGACGCUGAGACACGAAAGCCAGGGGAGCGAACGGGG
rnacentral:rRNA from 1 species